CGGUUAAGUUAGAAAGGGCGCACGGUGGAUGCCUUGGCACUAGGAGCCGAUGAAGGACGGGACGAACACCGAUAUGCUUCGGGGAGCUGUAAGCAAGCUUUGAUCCGGAGAUUUCCGAAUGGGGAAACCCACUGCUCGUAAUGGAGCAGUAUCCAUAUCUGAAUUCAUAGGAUAUGAGAAGGCAGACCCGGGGAACUGAAACAUCUAAGUACCCGGAGGAAGAGAAAGCAAAUGCGAUUCCCUGAGUAGCGGCGAGCGAAACGGGAACAGCCCAAACCAAGAGGCUUGCCUCUUGGGGUUGUAGGACACUCUGUACGGAGUUACAAAAGAACGAGGUAGAUGAAGAGGUCUGGAAAGGCCCGCCAUAGGAGGUAACAGCCCUGUAGUCAAAACUUCGUUCUCUCCUGAGUGGAUCCUGAGUACGGCGGAACACGUGAAAUUCCGUCGGAAUCCGGGAGGACCAUCUCCCAAGGCUAAAUACUCCCUAGUGACCGAUAGUGAACCAGUACCGUGAGGGAAAGGUGAAAAGCACCCCGGAAGGGGAGUGAAAGAGAUCCUGAAACCGUGUGCCUACAAGUAGUCAGAGCCCGUUAACGGGUGAUGGCGUGCCUUUUGUAGAAUGAACCGGCGAGUUACGAUCCCGUGCAAGGUUAAGUUUGAAAAGACGGAGCCGCAGCGAAAGCGAGUCUGAAUAGGGCGUUUGAGUAUGUAGUCGUAGACCCGAAACCAUGUGAUCUACCCAUGUCCAGGUUGAAGGUGCGGUAAAACGCACUGGAGGACCGAACCCACGUACGUUGAAAAGUGCGGGGAUGAGGUGUGGGUAGCGGAGAAAUUCCAAACGAACUUGGAGAUAGCUGGUUCUCUCCGAAAUAGCUUUAGGGCUAGCCUCAAGGUAAGAGUCUUGGAGGUAGAGCACUGAUUGGACUAGGGGCCCCUACCGGGUUACCGAAUUCAGUCAAACUCCGAAUGCCAAAGACUUAUCCUUGGGAGUCAGACUGCGAGUGAUAAGAUCCGUAGUCGAAAGGGAAACAGCCCAGACCGCCAGCUAAGGUCCCAAAGUAUACGUUAAGUGGAAAAGGAUGUGGAGUUGCUUAGACAACCAGGAUGUUGGCUUAGAAGCAGCCACCAUUUAAAGAGUGCGUAAUAGCUCACUGGUCGAGUGACUCUGCGCCGAAAAUGUACCGGGGCUAAACGUAUCACCGAAGCUGCGGACUGUUCUUGCGAACAGUGGUAGGAGAGCGUUCUAAGGGCUGUGAAGCGAGACCGGAAGGACUCGUGGAGCGCUUAGAAGUGAGAAUGCCGGUAUGAGUAGCGAAAGAGGGGUGAGAAUCCCCUCCACCGAAUGCCUAAGGUUUCCUGAGGAAGGCUCGUCCGCUCAGGGUUAGUCGGGACCUAAGCCGAGGCCGAAAGGCGUAGGCGAUGGACAACAGGUUGAUAUUCCUGUACCACCUCCUCACCAUUUGAGCAAUGGGGGGACGCAGGAGGAUAGGGUAAGCGCGGUAUUGGAUAUCCGCGUCCAAGCAGUUAGGCUGGGAAAUAGGCAAAUCCGUUUCCCGUAAGGCUGAGCUGUGAUGGCGAGCGAAAUAUAGUAGCGAAGUUCCUGAUUCCACACUGCCAAGAAAAGCCUCUAGCGAGGUGAGAGGUGCCCGUACCGCAAACCGACACAGGUAGGCGAGGAGAGAAUCCUAAGGUGAUCGAGAGAACUCUCGUUAAGGAACUCGGCAAAAUGACCCCGUAACUUCGGGAGAAGGGGUGCUCUGUUAGGGUGCAAGCCCGAGAGAGCCGCAGUGAAUAGGCCCAGGCGACUGUUUAGCAAAAACACAGGUCUCUGCGAAGCCGUAAGGCGAAGUAUAGGGGCUGACGCCUGCCCGGUGCUGGAAGGUUAAGAGGAGCGCUUAGCGUAAGCGAAGGUGCGAAUUGAAGCCCCAGUAAACGGCGGCCGUAACUAUAACGGUCCUAGGUAGCGAAAUUCCUUGUCGGGUAAGUUCCGACCCGCACGAAAGGCGCAACGAUCUGGGCACUGUCUCAACGAGAGACUCGGUGAAAUUAUAGUACCUGUGAAGAUGCAGGUUACCCGCGACAGGACGGAAAGACCCCGUGGAGCUUUACUGCAGCCUGAUAUUGAAUGUUGGUACAGCUUGUACAGGAUAGGUAGGAGCCUUGGAAACCGGAGCGCCAGCUUCGGUGGAGGCAUCGGUGGGAUACUACCCUGGCUGUAUUGACCUUCUAACCCGCUGCCCUUAUCGGGCAGGGAGACAGUGUCAGGUGGGCAGUUUGACUG
rnacentral:rRNA from 1 species